rnacentral:rRNA from 1 species
ACGGAGGAUCCAAGCGUUAUCCGGAUUUAUUGGGUUUAAAGGGAGCGUAGGCGGAAGCUUAAGUCAGUUGUGAAAGUUUGCGGCUCAACCGUAAAAUUGCAGUUGAUACUGGGUUUCUUGAGUGCAGUAGAGGUAGGCGGAAUUCGUGGUGUAGCGGUGAAAUGCUUAGAUAUCACGAAGAACUCCGAUUGCGAAGGCAGCUUACUGGACUGUAACUGACGCUGAUGCUCGAAAGUGUGGGUAUCAAACAG